AGGCAGGCAGCGCUGCCCGGGGUGGGAGAGGCCUCGGCUGUACCCGUUCGUACCCGGAGGUGUACCCCCGGCUGUGGAGACCCCCUUGGCCUGCGGAGCCGCUCCUAGCCCCGGCGGUGCCGGGAGGAGGGGGCCCGGUGACCCUCGGGCCCUGACAGGGUCUGCUGGCACUGGGGAAGCUGGAUGAACACGGCCGGGUGGGGAGGAAGCUCUACUUCACGUCCACGCUCUGCAGCGCUGGUGACGGCGGGCGAGCCGGUUUGCUCUGCUGCUUCUGUCCACAGGCACACGUGCUCCUCCAAGCAAACUCAUUCCUAAACAAACAGAGCUUCGCGGGAGGCAGCAAGCGGCGAUGUGGCCGAGCUGGAGGGAGGACUGGGACCAGCCGGUGGUGAGGGACCACCCUGCCCUGAGCUGGCCCAGGUGGCCCGAGGGGUGCGUCUGCCAUGGU